rnacentral:rRNA from 1 species
CCUACGGGAGGCAGCAGUGGGGAAUUUUGGACAAUGGGCGCAAGCCUGAUCCAGCCAUGCCGCGUGCAGGAUGAAGGCCUUCGGGUUGUAAACUGCUUUUGUACGGAACGAAAAGACUCUGGUUAAUACCUGGGGUCCAUGACGGUACCGUAAGAAUAAGCACCGGCUAACUACGUGCCAGCAGCCGCGGUAA